AUGUGUGCCCUAUGUUACCAUGUCUGUUGGUCUUGUGAGCACCUGUGCUGUCGUAUGGGCUUACAUGCAACGUGUUAUUGGUUUACGGGUCACGGCCUGUGUAUUAUUUUGAGGUUUACACCUUACGCUUUUGUUUGGGUGGAGAAAAUACUGUCCUGCGCCUGUCUCCGAUCAUUAUACAACGUGACACCAUGGUGCUGUAAAGAAAGCUAUGCUGUUGGGACAACUUGAUUAUGGAGGAUUCGGACUACUUUGAGCAGUUCCCAGAGGAUGAAGGUAAAGCAGGACUGCUGCAUGUGACUAUCAGAGUUUUUACAUAGUUGUAAAAGGAUGAAACAUAAAAGAAUGAAGCGUUGACUACGCUGGUGCCAGAGAUGGUGAAGCCCACUGCUGUGUGCCCAGUCAUUCUUCAACGAGAGCUCGACUUCGAGACUGCCAAUGACAGACCUAUUUCUCCUCUCCUAGCCAACCUUCCAUCAGCAGAUGGAACACUGUCCAGUACCACUAUCACUGGGUGAACAAUAACCUCAUGUGCCUUCCACAGCACAAAUCAAUGAAGUGCUAUCAUACCUGUAGCAUCCCAAGUCAACCAACUGACAACUGAACCUUCACCGGAACUGGACUGUUAAAUAGCGAAACUCAACGACCAACCCCAGGAGGAGCCCAAAGAUAGAAGUACCCCCACACCUCUGAGCUUGUCUCAAACAUCACUCCACAGCAGCAUGGCUGAAACCUUAGAGGCCGAAGAGGAGCAGGAGGGAGGAACCUCCACCCUGAAUCAGAGAACCACACAUCGAACCUGACCCACCUCACACAGAGAUCCAAGCCAACAUGCCUUCACUGGAAGAUGUUUCAUAUCAGUGUGCAUCCCGCCACACCAGAUGUAGUGGCGGAGGAGGAAGAUGUAGAGGUGCCUCAGCAGGGGUCGAAGGUGGAGGCGGAGGAUCCAAGGCAGGAAGCAGAGAACGAGACAGAGGACGACAAAGUCCUUCAGAAUUCAGGAGCCAAGCACCAGCUUCCCAAGUCUCCUAGAACAUCCCUCGGAUCCCACCCAUUAUUGAGUUCAGUAGAACAGAAGGUAGAAACUCCCAGAUAGAGGUUUCCCUUGAGGCCCCCCCAUUUCUCCCAGAAGUGAUGAUAAGCAGCUGACAUCAAUGGAUGAUGGCAUGGCCAGAGAAGUUGGAGUCUUGAUUAUGGAGGAUACAGGGCCCAGGCUCGAGAGCUCCCAGGCAGAUUAGGAAGAGGCUUCCAUGUCUCCUCCCUGGACCUCCUCAAUGUCCACCUCUUGAACAUCAGACUCUGGGGCCUCAUCUUCACUGUCACUUUCCAACCUUGUUGAGGAUGGCUUGUUGUCAGGCUCAAAAAGCCUAAAAUUUGCCCAGAUGGACACCAAUUUUUCAACCCUUGUAUUGGUCAGCCUGUUGCAUGCUUUGGUGUGUGUUCCCAAACAAGGACCAGUUGCGCUCUGAGGAGGCUGAUGUUGGUGGGAUUUGGAGGAUGAUGGAGGCAACAGGGAAAGAGCCUCAGAUCCACAAAGUCCCUUCCACCAGGUGGCUGAUGAGAUCUGUUGGCACCACUGCCAUAUUGCAUCUCCAUCCCAAAGCCCUUGCUUGGAAGUGUACUUCGCCAGACUGCCAAGAACCUUGCCCUCAUCCAGUCCAAGGUGGCGAGACACGGUAGUGAUGACACCAUAGGCCUUGUUGAUCUCUGCACCAGACAGGAUGCUCUUGCCAGCAUACUUGGAGUCCAACGUGUACGUUGUGGCAUGUAUGGGCUUCAGGCAGAAGCCUUCACACUUUUUGAUUUAUUUCAGAACUGCAGUUUCCUGUGCUUGGAGCAACAGUGAAGUGGACAGGGCAGUACGGUGUUCUUCUCUUACAUCUACAAGCAGAGUCUGAACAUCAGACAGGAUGGCAUUGUCUCCUAUCAGAUUGUCUCUAUAGACCACUGAGGUACUCUGUAUGUGAAUCUCUGUCUGUAAUUGCAUUUUACUACUAAAGAGUUUUAUACCAAGGUGUCUGUGUCUUAUCUGGAAGACUGAUUGUUAAAGGAAACUUAUAUCACCACAUGCAAAGGACCACCCAACAGUAUCCAUUGUUUUCAGGGCCAUGAUGUCCUUGAGGAGCAGAUUCCAUGCAUGAGCAGCACAGCCAAUGGGUGUGAUGUGAGGGUAGGAUUCCUCCACUUUAUACCAAGCAGCCUUCAAGUUCGCAGCAUUGUCUGUCACCAGUGCAAAUACCUUCUGUGGUCCAAGGUCAUUGAUGACUGCCUUAAGCUCAUCUGCAAUGUAGAGACCGGUGUGUCUGUUGUCCCUUGUCUGUGCUCUUGUAGAAUACUGGUUGAGGGGUGGAGAUGAUAGGGCUAAUUAUUCCUUGCCCACGAACACUCGACCACCCAUCAGAUGAUUGCAAUAGUCUGCUUUCUCUAUGAUUUGCUUGACCUUCACUUGAACUCUGAACUCUGCAUCCAGCAAAUGAGUACAUAAAGCAUGUCUGGUUGGAGGGGUGUAUGCUCCGUGAAGAACAUUCAGAAAUCUCUUCCAAUACACAUUGCCUGUGAGCAUUAGAGGUGAACCAGUUGCAUGCACAGCUUGAGAAAGACAUUCAUCAGUAUUUCUCUGACUACGUUCCUCCAUUGAGUCAAAAAAACUUUGAUUCAAGGAGGACCAUGAGCUGUUUCUAUCAAUAAGAUGUCUGAUUCAUCAUUUUCACCUCGAAUAGAAGUAGAGGGUCUUUUGUCAGAGGUUGCUUGUUGUGAAUGCUAAGGGAACUUUAUGCACUUGGCCAGAUGAUUCUUGCAUUCUUCACAUGAUUUGGCACAGUAUUUGAAAAUGUACACAGCUUUUCAUUCUACAUGAGCUGCAGUGAAAUAUCUCCACACAUUUCCUGUAGACAUUAGGGGGAAAAAGAGUUUAAAAAACAACCAAUACAAUUCCAUGUACCGGUAAAUAGUUAAGCAGUUAGAUUUAAACAACCCCUUUAAGAUUUUUUAAAAAAUGAAACGUAUGAAAACAGGUGAAUUAACACUGUUAGCAGGCUCAAGCAAGCUAAACCCCACAUGGUAUCAAAAACUAACUAGCAGAAAUUGUUAAGUUAGAA